CAGAAACACAGGUUUUCAUGAAGAAGAUUGGGAGGAGGAGGAUAUGAAAAAGAGGACUACAUAUCUGAAAAUCCAUGAAAACUUGGCAUGCAGGCUUUUGAGAAGAAGAUAGCACAAAAGAAAAGAGUAGUUAAGAGAGGAUCUUGAGCUGUGCAUAUGACUAUGAGCUACCAGACGUUGACAUCGGCCGGCUGAGUAAACAAUGAUCAGGUCAGGUCAGGUCAGGUAUUUCCUGCACAUACUAUUAUAAUAAUCACUCAUUUCUUGAUUAUUUUACAGUACUAUUUUUUAUUUUCCUAUGAAACUUUAUAUCAAGUCGCUUUAGAUUAUAGUACUCGUUAAUUUGACCCCUUCUCUUUAACGGACUACUAAACCAGACGGCUGAUUGAUGUAUUUAAUUUUACA